UGUAAUCAGUGUAAAUUAAUCUGCUUUCUGUGCGAGUCUCUGUAGGAGCUGCUCUGUGUGAACAGGACUCUGUCCGGCUGCAGCAGCUGAAGCAGUCUGCGCAGAACCGCUCGCCGCAGGAGGAUGUAAACCCACGGGUCCAGAAUCUGGUUCCAGCUAGCCAAACGCAGAGCCAAGAGAAGCAGCUUCUCACACUGGCGCCUCGGCCCUCUGAUUCCUUCAUAAAACCUGCUAACGGACAUGAGGAUGUAAAUCUGUGAAACCAAGAGGGAAACGGUCAAACAGUCUAGAGAAUCACAAAUGAAGUGACACAGAAGUGUUCAUCAAAUGCACAACACCUCACAAUGUGAAUAGUAAAAGACUGUAAAAACCUGUUAAUUGGUUAAUGUGUACUCACAAGAAAAGGACUCCAACAGACACAGGAGACCACUGUUAUGGCAGCCAGCUGCGUCAUCAUCUCCACAUCCAGGGAGUGCAGAGACGAAGAUGAGAAGGAUCCAUGUCUCCGAGCAGCGCUUGACUUAACACAUCGGUCCUUAAACCUUGCCUGGAGCAACUUCAACCCACUUACAGUAUUAGACACAACUGAGACGGUCAAUGUUACAAGCCCCAGUGUGGAAAAAGCCAGAGAGAGGCUGGCAUCAGUGAUGGAGAUCAGACUGUUAACAGACGGACAAAUAUGGAAUAAUAUCCCAUGGAGGUGUACUCUAAGGGUUUUUCGCACUCACAAAAUGGACUUGGGAGAGUUGAGAGGGCAGGAACUGUCUGUCUCUCGGUCUUUCUUUUUUAACACUAUAAUGACAUGCUGCUCCACAAUGCACUGAAAUGAAACGGCUGUGAGGCUGUAAUGGAGUAAUCGGUGCGCCCGUUCUAACUUGGCAACUUGUCAUUUUUGUUACUGUCCCUGCACCUUGUUCUCCCUCUGUGCAAUCAUACAUUUAAUUUUUAAAUCAUUUUCUCUUUUUUAAAUCUUCAUUCUGCUUUUCUUGGGCAACACUGAGUGGAUCGCAGUGAGGGAUGAUUGAUAUCAGAUGACUAACAAAGAGCAGCAAUUUUCUUUUUGAGAAAGUGUGAGGACUGUGCUAAAGAGCCACAGCAGGAAGCCAGUAUGACCAUAUCAGGUCACUGAGAGCCCAUCCGACUGAGAGGAAUUUCAAGAACAUUUAGCUCAUUAAAAAUGGCUAUGGUGUAGUUUUGUUUUGGAAAUGGUACGUUGCCAUUGCAUUUUGUAGUUUUAAAGCCAUUGCAUUUUCAGUUGACCUCAACAUG